GGGGCAUAAACUCAAUUAAGGGAAAUAUAUUCAAUUUUGUAACCAAGGCACCGAGGGUCUUCUCCACUUACAUGUGAAGUUACGAAGCAUUCACAUUGAAAUUGCAUUCAGACUAUUAAUUUUAGGAACAUUGUGGGACAUAAACUCAAUUAAGGGACAUAUUCAAUUUUUCAUCUAAAAAAAAUGAAAUUCAUACCGGAAGAUUGCAUCAUUACUAUCCAAUUCAUACUUCAAUUUACAUUUCAAAGUUCCUAUUUGCACGAAACAUUUCACAAGCAGAUGAAUUUCGAAAUGUUACCUUGUAUACAGCACCAAAUCCACCCUCUCCNNNNNNNNNNNNNNNUGGGACAUCGUGGGACAUAAACUUAAUAGGCCAUAUACUUAAUUUGGCAUCUAAGGUACCAAAGGUCUUCUUCCCCAAUUACAUGUAAAGU
rnacentral:lncRNA from 1 species